rnacentral:rRNA from 1 species
GACGAACGCUGGCGGCGUGCUUAACACAUGCAAGUCGAACGGAAAGGCCCUGCUUUUGUGGGGUGCUCGAGUGGCGAACGGGUGAGUAACACGUGAGUAACCUGCCCUUGACUUUGGGAUAACUUCAGGAAACUGGGGCUAAUACCGGAUAGGAGCUCCUGCUGCAUGGUGGGGGUUGGAAAGUUUCGGCGGUUGGGGAUGGACUCGCGGCUUAUCAGCUUGUUGGUGGGGUAGUGGCUUACCAAGGCUUUGACGGGUAGCCGGCCUGAGAGGGGGACCGGCCACAUUGGGACUGGAAUACGGCCCAGACUCCUACGGGAGGCAGCAGUGGGGAAUAUUGCACAAUGGGCGGAAGCCUGAUGCAGCAACGCCGCGUGCGGGAUGACGGCCUUCGGGUUGUAAACCGCUUUCGCCUGUGACGAAGCGUGAGUGACGGUAAUGGGUAAAGAAGCACCGGCUAACUACGUG